rnacentral:tRNA from 1 species
CACAGUAUCUAAACAACAAACGGAUUUUAUCCGCUGUCAGGCCAGUCUCAUUAGUCUGACAGCGAACGGUAAAAGCCGGAAUGAU